AUACUUACCUGGACGGGGUCGAUGGUUGAUCUAGAAGGCUCAUGGCCUAGGUUUGUAACCUCCAUUGCACUUAGGAGGGUGCUUGCCUAAAGUCGACCCAAGUGGUCGAACUUAUGUCAUAAUUUGUGGUAGAGGGGGUUUGCGUGCGCGCAGCCCCUG